UAGCCGUAAUAUCAUUGUGCCGGUUUGAGUUACCAUGCCCGUCUUAUUGCCAUGACAGUCUAGCCAUCGUGCCAGGCUGAUCGGUGUUCGUUCCGUUGUCUAGUAGUAAUGUCGUUGUGCCGGUCUGAGUUACCGUACCCGUCUUACUACCAUGUUGGGUCAAUCACCUAUUGGUCUAGCCACUGUGUCAGCCAAGCCGCCUGGUCAAACUUCUUCUCUCACUUUCACUUCGCCCUGUAACAAGGUGGAGGCCCUAUGCCCCACUUGUUUGUACUUCUAAUGUGUGUGUGUGUGUGUGUUUGCAGGAAAGGAGAAACAGGUCAAUGGUGGCGAUUCGAAACAAGCCAUAGGCCAGGGGGGCUUUCCAACGUGAUCUAAGAGGGCGCCCACGUGAGCCAGCUCGAGCGUGUCACAUACCCACGUGAGGUCUCGGGCCCAUCUCAAACCUAGAACCAUGCCACGAGGUCAACCCGACCCGAAGGGCGAGAUCGAGGCACCUAACUAACAAGAUGUCUUUCUGAAGAUUUCGGUGUCCAUGAAUUCAUGUCAUCUUUCCUUCUUCGUAGGGCAGAUUUGUCUUCACGUUUGCGCAUUAGGGUGAAGGUGUUGUUGAGGCUUUACCGGCAUCUGAAGCCUUGGCCAUUCUUCUAAUGCAGAGAAGGAGUCGCGAGCUUGUCGAAGAGUGGCCAAAAAUCUCCAUAGUCAUCGACUGGUUCUGUGAGGCCGUACGGCGAAAGCGUGCAUCUGCCUUACUUCGCGAUGGUCUGGGCUUAGUACUACUGGGUUGACCCGAUUGAGUGGCAGGAGACGGCAGUGGUUGUUUGGCACGUUAUCAAGAUCCUGUGUACAUGACGGUGUCAUAAGAGUUCGCCUUUUGGGUACACAGGUGCUUUUCCCUUGGUCUUUUUUAUUCGAGGCUUAUUCUCGGCUACUGCCCCCGCGGGACCGUGUCUUGCAUGCCGCUGUGACUAGGUUGUAGCUGGCUCUCUCCUUUAUUUGCUUGAGGGACUAAGGUAUGUCGAAAAUGACGUAUAACAGUCACCUAUGCAAACAGGUAGAAAACCCUCUCUUUCUCCCUUUAGUCCUAUUCUCUCUCUUCGUACUCUCCCCCUACAUUCCUACCCUCGAGCUAGGAUUUAAGCUUUUUUUUCUCUCUAUCCCCCUUCAUUCGUACUCUCCCACUUCCCCUAAAGAACCAUGGAGAAAGCCCUCCCUUUCCCUUCUUACUUCCCUCUCUCGCCUCCAAAUUUUAUGGCAACAUAAAGAGAGCGAGCUCGGAUUCCAGACAGCAAGAAAAAUGAAAGCGGCCAUAUUUCAAGGCCAAGCCCAAAUGCUUCCUCAGACAAAGUAAUUUCCUUCUCUACACAAAAAACCUAGCAAAACGCCAACAACUCUCUUUUAUGAAAUAUCA